UGGAGGGAUGUAUUUUAUUAAACUAGAGGAGAGAUGGAGGGAUUUAUUUUAUUCUGCUAGAGGAGAGAUAGAGGGAUGUAUUUUAAUAAACUAGGAGAGAUGGAGGGAUGUAUUUUAAACUAGGAGGGAUGCAUUUUAUUCUAGAGAGAUGGAGGGAAGUAUUUUAUUAAACUAGAGGAGAGAUGGAGGGAUAUAUUUUAUUCUACUGGAGGAGAGAUGGAGGGAUGUAUUUUAUUACACUAGAGGAGAGAUGUAUUUUAUUAAACUAGAGGACAGAUGGAGGGAUGUAUUUUAUUAAACUAGAGGAGAGAUGUAUUUUAUUAAACUAGGAGGUGGGAUGCAUUUUAUUCUACUAGAGAGAUGGAGGGAAGUAUUAUUCUACUGGAGGGAUGUAAUUUUAUUAAACUAGAGGAGAGAUGUAUAUUAUUAAACUAGAGGAGAGAUGGAGAGAUGUAUUUUACUCUACCAGAGAGAUGUAUUUUAUUAUACUAGGAGAGGUGGAGGGAUGUAUUUUAUUAAACUAGAGGAGAGAUGGAGUGAUGUAUUUUAUUAAACUAGAGGAGAGAUGUAUUUUAUUAAAUUAGGAGAGAUGGAGGGAUGUAUUUUACUCUACUAGAGAGAUGUAUUUUAUUAUACUAGAGGAGAGAUGGAGGGAUGUAUUUUAUUAAACUAGAGGAGAGAUGUAUUUUCUUAAACUAGAGAGAUGUAUUUUCUUAAACUAGAGGAGAUGGAGGGAUGCAGGGAUGUAUUUUAUUAAACUAGAGGAGAGAUGUAUUUUCUUAAACUAGAGGAGAUGGAGGGAUGCAUUUUACUCUACUAGAGAUGGAGGGAUGUAUUUUAUUAAACUAGGAGAGAUGGAGGGAUGCAUUUUAUUCUACUGGAGGAGAGAUGGAGGGAUGUAUUUUUAUUCUACUACCAGAGGCGAGAUGGGGGUAUGCAUUUUAUUCUACUAGAGGAGAGAUGGAAGGGUGCAUUUUAUUCUACUUGCAGAGACGGAUGGAUUUUAUUCUACGACUAGAGGAACGGUCAGAGAUGGCAGAGCUUUGGCUUUGCAGCUUUUAAGUUGGAUUAAAGGUAUACGCUAGGAUACUUUCGUGAGCCAAUGCUAACUAGUGUUAGCACAAUGACUGGAAGUCCAUGGUAUCAUGCACCCAGUCAUUGCACUAACACCAGUUAAUAUUGGCUCACAAAAGUAUCCUUGCGUUAAUCAGACUGGGUGAGUAGAUAGGUUUUCAUUGUCAAAAUCCCUUUAAAUGUAGAGCUGAUGUGGAUGGUGUCAGUAAAGGAAGAGAUUAUUUUUAAAGUCACAUUUACACAACCCUCAUCUACCGGUAGAAAUUAGGGGGUGGUGAGGUCAUCACUCUCCUGCAAGACUCAGCCUAUCCUGUGGGGCUGCCAUGGGGUCUCCAGGUGCAUCCUUGAUGUCAUCUCCUGAGAACACGCCAACCUGUGUGUUGGCUUCAUAGAGGUAGAAAGGAUUCCUCUGUGCCUCAAUGGAUUCUGUGACAGCAUGGGUAGCGCCAUCUCAAUUUGAAAGUUGUCAAUUUUCUUGUUUGAAAUGAGUAUUGCUAAUAUUGGUGAUUUAGCGCCACCUGCAGUGCUGAACCAAAUCUUUAU